GAUAGCCACCUGUCGUUACCGUGAUUGGACUCUGACGCAGAGUCAACUAGCCUUGCCACGUGGUUCUUCGCCGGGGGAACCCAGGGCGGUCCGAGCCACGAGGGGGGAGGCUCGGACCGCCGUCC
rnacentral:ncRNA from 1 species